rnacentral:rRNA from 1 species
UUGAACGCUAGCGGCAUGCUUAACACAUGCAAGUCGAACGGUAACAGCGAGAGCUUGCUCUCGGCUGACGAGUGGCGGACGGGUGAGUAAUGCUUAGGAAUCUGCCCAGUAGCGGGGGACAACUCGGGGAAACUCGAGCUAAUACCGCAUACGCCCUACGGGGGAAAGCAGGGGAUCUUCGGACCUUGCACUAUUGGAUGAGCCUAAGUCAGAUUAGCUUGUUGGUGGGGUAACGGCCUACCAAGGCGACGAUCUGUAGCUGGUCUGAGAGGACGAUCAGCCACACUGGAACUGAGACACGGUCCAGACUCCUACGGGAGGCAGCAGUGGGGAAUAUUGCACAAUGGGCGCAAGCCUGAUGCAGCAAUGCCGCGUGUGUGAAGAAGGCCUGCGGGUUGUAAAGCACUUUCAGUAAGGAGGAAAAGUUGUAGGUUAAUACCCUGCAGCCUUGACGUUACUUACAGAAGAAGCACCGGCUAACUCCGUGCCAGCAGCCGCGGUAAUACGGAGGGUGCGAGCGUUAAUCGGAAUUACUGGGCGUAAAGCGUGCGUAGGCGGCAUGGUCAGUCGGAUGUGAAAGCCCCGGGCUUAACCUGGGAAUUGCAUUCGAUACUGCCAAGCUAGAGUAUGUUAGAGGAAAGUGGAAUUCCCGGUGUAGCGGUGAAAUGCGUAGAUAUCGGGAGGAACAUCAGUGGCGAAGGCGGUACCCUGGCAUUUGCCUGACGCUCAUGUGCGAAAGCGUGGGGAGCGAACGGGAUUAGAUACCCCGGUAGUCCACGCUGUAAACGAUGGAUGCUAGCCGUCGGCAAGCUUG